AGCUUAAAACCCAAAGGACUUGGCGGUGCCUCACACCCACCUAGAGGAGCCUGUUCUAGAACCGAUAAUCCACGUUAAACCUCACCGCUUCUUGCCACUACCGUCUAUAUACCACCGUCGCCAGCUUACCCCGUGAGGGUGAAAAAGUAAGCACAAUUGGUACAACCAAAAACGUCAGGUCGAGGUGUAGCGAAUGAAGCGGAAAGAAAUGGGCUACAUUUUCUUAAAAGAAUAUACGAAAGACCUAAUGAAACAAAGUCAGAAGGUGGAUUUAGCAGUAAGAAAAACCAAGAAUAUUUUUCU
rnacentral:rRNA from 1 species